AUUUAGCUGACGAGUCCUAAACAGAACGAAAUGGGAGUCAUAGAU
rfam:Schistosoma curassoni strain Dakar, Senegal genome assembly, scaffold: SCTD_scaffold0000459